AUUUAUAUAGCUUAUAUUAGAGUAUAAUAUUGAAGAUAUUAAGGAGAUUUUUAUUUAUCUAUAAAUA
rnacentral:tRNA from 1 species